rnacentral:rRNA from 1 species
UACAGAGGGCUCAAGCGUUGUUCGGAUUCAUUGGGCGUAAAGGGUGCGUAGGUGGCGGGGUAAGUCUGGUGUGAAAUCUCGGGGCUCAACCCCGAAACUGCACUGGAUACUGCCUUGCUCGAGUACUGGAGAGGAGAUUGGAAUUUACGGUGUAGCAGUGAAAUGCGUAGAUAUCGUAAGGAAGACCAGUGGCGAAGGCGAAUCUCUGGACAGUUACUGACACUGAGGCACGAAGGCCAGGGGAGCAAACGGG